GGUUGACCUCGGAUCAGGUAGGGAUACCCGCUGAACUUAAGCAUAUCAAUAAGCGGAGGAAAAGAAACCAACAGGGAUUGCCCCAGUAACGGCGAGUGAAGCGGCAAGAGCUCAAAUUUGAAAGCUGGCUCCUUCGGGGUCCGCAUUGUAAUUUGCAGAGGAUGCUUCGGGAGCGGUCCCCAUCUAAGUGCCCUGGAACGGGACGUCAUAGAGGGUGAGAAUCCCGUAUGGGAUGGGGUGUCCGCGCCCGUGUGAAGCUCCUUCGACGAGUCGAGUUGUUUGGGAAUGCAGCUCUAAAUGGGUGGUAAAUUUCAUCUAAAGCUAAAUAUUGGCCGGAGACCGAUAGCGCACAAGUAGAGUGAUCGAAAGAUGAAAAGCACUUUGAAAAGAGAGUUAAAAAGCACGUGAAAUUGUUGAAAGGGAAGCGCUUGCGACCAGACUCGCUCGCGGGGUUCAGCCGGCAUUCGUGCCGGUGUACUUCCCCGCGAGCGGGCCAGCGUCGGUUUGGGCGGUCGGUCAAAGGCCUCUGGAAGGUAACGCCCCCUCGGGGGCGUCUUAUAGCCAGGGGUGCAAUGCGGCCUGCCCGGACCGAGGAACGCGCUUCGGCUCGGACGCUGGCAUAAUGGUCGUAAGCGACCCGUCUGGAAACACGGACC
rnacentral:rRNA from 1 species